AGACCAACAUUUGCCAAGAGUGUUUAUGGAUUACUUAAUUAUAAAGUUUGCAUGUUGAAAUCUUAAAGAAACAAGCAGAUUGACAUGACUUGUUUAAAAAUGCAGUAUUCAUUAAUGAAUUCAAUCCAUCAGCAAUAUUUCUUCAUUGUCAUAGAUUUCCUCAGUUUUAUCAGGGCCAUAGUUGCUUGGAAAAAAUAUUCACCAGAAAAAGGUUUCUUUUUAAUAGUAAUUACUUGGAAAGAAUAUAAAGUUCUUCAUUUCUCUCAAAUGAUAGAACACUUUCCAUAAAGGUUCUCACGAAGUAAUGAAGACUGCUAAACCCACAUCUUUUCUUGUUUUCUUCAGCUACAUUAAAUGUCAAUCUCGUUAGAGAAGUUUACUAGAUGCGGGUGGAAAAUCCUAUUUACAAUUUACAUAUUCCAGGUAUAAGGAUAAGAUAAGUAAGCCACAAUGACUACUACAGUGUACAUGAGAAGGCUUAUCUUUUUCAGAGGUCAUUACUGUAAAUAGAAUCAUUGAAAAUUGCAAGACAUUAAUUUGUGGAAUGAAUAUACAGAGAGAGCUGAUAUAUUGAAGCAACACACACAGGAAUAUUCCACUUUAGCCUCACUUCCACUCUAGCUCUUUGGGAGCUAUUAUUAUAGGAAAAAUGACACUGUUAUCAAUAGAGAACAUAUGCAUGUGAUUUUGGUGAGUGGAGAUGAUGAAGAAGAUGGAGGUGAUCCAAGAUGUGUGAAACACCGACUUUGCCGAAUUAAGCCUGGCAAGCUCUGGAGGCUGGGACCUCCAAGAUCAAGGCACUGGCAGAUUUGGUAUCUGCUCCAACAUUAUGGUUGCUCAGUUUCUUCAGAAAGCAACUCAUGGAGAAGUACAAACCACAGUUAGAAAGUUGAGAGAUUUCAAUGAGAAGCACAGGACCUUUAAGUCACAUGGUUACCUUCAGAAUGCACUCACCAAUUGGUACAGUUAUGAAACCUCUAGAAGUCAUCCAUUCUUGUAUAGACUUACUCUCCUGGCAUGUCUACUUGCUAUGAAACAGCUGUUUAGUCAUGUUGCCAAGAAGAAAAGAAGACAGAAUGCCUCUAGAUAAAGAAAUGCUAUUCCUAUGUCAACUUGCUAUGCAAAGUGUGGACUGUGGACCAGCAGCAUGUGUGUCGCCUGGCAGCUUGUUGCAAAUGCAGAAUCUGAAGCUCUCAUCUAGACCUACUAAACAGACUUCACUUUAACAAUAUAACCGGGCAAGUCAUAUAGUCAUUAAAAUUUGAGAAGUAUGAUCUAGCAUAGAUAUUACUUCAUAAUAAAUGUUUAAUGUUUCAGUUACUAUUGCUGCAUAGCAAAACACCCCAAAAUUAAUGACUUAAAAUGACAACUACCACUUUAUUGUGAGGAAUUCAGGAAAGGCUCAUUUGGGUGUUUGGCUUAUGAUCUUUCAUAUGGGUGCAGUCAGACAAUGUCUGGAUCUGGGACUCUGGUGGACUGAAGCACCUGGUCACUGGUCUGACAUCUUUUUUUCUUCUUAUACAAUCUCAGGGCCUCUCUAUGUAAUCUUGCUGCUAGGCUAGUUUGGGCUUCCCAAAGCCUGGUAGCCUGAGGUCAGUUGGACUGCUUACACAUGGCCGAUGGCUUCAAAAAGGAGUACUCUAGUGGAGAGAGCACAAGUUGCUUGGCUUUUCUGAUCUAGCCUUAGAAGUCACUUCUGCCAUGCUCUAUUUGUUGAAACACUGUAAAACAUCAUCAGUUUGAAGGAGACAGUAUAUACACCUUACCUCUUCAUGGGAGGAUUGUCAAAGUCUCUCUGUAAGAAGAGCAUAGUAUAGGAGAUAUUGUUGUAGCCACCUUUGCAAAAUACAAUUGACACACUUAAUAUUUAUAACUAUUGCCUUUACUCCUUUAUUGUGUAGAUGUAAAUCAGUGAUUAAUUCCAGGUUAAAGGUACUUUUUGGCAUGCUCAAUAGCCGUCUUUACUUUACAGGAGGAGGUAGAGUACCAGAUGGCUUUUCCAAAAGGCAUGCUGAAAAUUAUUAGUAGUUUGAUAAAGAUUCUGAUGAAUUCCUCAAGGCUAAAUGCAGUGCUGAAUUUUCCUUUGUCAUCUUCUUUGAUCUUCUCAGUGAGAAAUUAUCUCAUCUUCUUCCAAAGCCCAUUAGAAUGUUGCCUAUUUUAAAAGUUGAGUUCUUCAUAUCAUAAAUUAAAUAUUAUGUCUAAAGAGUUUCUGGCAUAUGCUACAUACUCAAUGAUUGCAGGUAUUUUCAUUAAACCUAUUUAUAUAUAUUUCUUACCUCCUUCUCCUUUCUUUUCCUGGUGAACUGCAAUUCCUUUAGAAGCCAAUUCUGAAUUUCUAGGCAGAACAGUCAUAGUUUUCUUUCGGUUUCAAACUAAUUUAAACCCCAAAAACCAGUAUUCAUGCACAGACUUAUUAUAUUCCAUUACCUAGCAUUUCUAAAGAAUGACUUUUUUUUUUUUUUUUUUUUUACAGAGGUGAGCUUUUUAGAUAACUUACACUAUUUUAAGUUACAAGGUUUUCAUAAUCUUAAUUUUUUUCAGUGGAAAUUUUUUGCUAAAUGUGUAAUAUGCACCUAUAAUGCUAAGCAUAAGCAGAUGCUCAUAAGCUAGGGAUUCCUUUUUCUUCCUCAUUUUGUGAUGUUUAUAGCCUUGCUGCUGCCAGGGUGUCUGUACCUAGUGGCGUUUGCUCCUUUCUCAGAGAAAAUUACAUAAUAGAUUGCAUAAACAUUCUAUCUAUGAUCAGAUAAUGUGAUCUAUGAGGGAAAGCCUCAGAGAAUCUCUUAUGAAGAAGUGAAUACAUUUGCUUGUUUUUGAUUUUGAAUGAGUAUGAUACAACAAAAUAAUAAUAAAUUAUAAAAUAUAAUUAAAUUUUAUUUAAUAAUAUUCAUUAAAUAAAAAUAUUAUUAUCAUGCCAGUUUUAUGGUUUGAAUAUCACCUUUGCAUGCAUUUUCUAACUUGUUUUUGAAAACCUCACUGUAAGGUACAGUUACUCAUAGUAAAAACAAUAUGUGAUCAAUAUAAUGUUUUUAAUAAAAAUAUGGAGUUGUUCUAAACUUUCGUUUAUUUAUUUAUUUCUUUUUGAGACAGAGUCUGGCUCUAUCGUCCAGGCUGGAGUGCAGUGACAUGAUCUUGGCUCACUGCAACCUCUGCCUCCCUGGUUCAAGUGAUUCUCCUGCCUCAGCCUCCUGAGUAGUUGGGAUUACAGGCAUGCACCACAAUGCCCAGGUAUUUUUGUUUUUUUUUUUUUUUUUUUGUAUUUUUAGCACAGACAGGGUUUCACCAAGUUGGCCAGACUGGUCUGGAACUCCUGACCUCAAGUAAUCCACCUGCCUCGACCUCCCAAAGUGCUGGGAUUACAGGCUUGAGCCACCGUACCAGGCCCUGAAAUUUUAAAAUAUGACUUAUAUCCUUACCACAAAGAGAUACCAAUUUUGGUAUAUUUUCUUGUCUUAUUUUUUUCUAGUCACAGAUUUUAUUUUAUACAUGAUAUGAUCACACUGAAUAUACAAUUUUGAUUAGAGAUUUAGACAUACCUACUUUGUACUAGAAGUAUAUAUCUUCUCAAGAAUAAUGAACAUUAUUUAUUUAACUGUCACCCUUCCCUUCUGUUGAACCAUUUUAUUUAUUUCCAAAAUUUUGCAACCCUAACAAAACAUGCCUGUACUUCUUUUUCCAUAAUUAUGUUUUUAUUUAUUUAGAAACAUUUCUUGGUAAGAGAGUUGGCAGUAAUCCUAAGUUAAAGAUAUGAAUAUUUGAGGGGAUGAGGGAGUUCACUAAUAUAUAUUACAAAACUGGAACAUACACUUAAGAUUAGGAGUAUGAGUAUGAGUAUGAGAUAUGUUCCAAAUAACACGGUUAGUAACUUGGAUGAAAGCAAAAUACAACUCUAAGACAUUAUUGAAAUUUGUUCUGGUGGCUCUCUGAACUUUUGAUUGCUUACUUUCUUGUGCUCACUUAUGUUCUAAAUGCUUGAGAUUCCGGAACAAGUGAUCUUUGGGAAAGAAAGAUUUUAUAAAACACACCAUGCUAUACUUCUGCAUUUUGGCCUCUUUUAAACAACUCAGUAGAAGACUUUUUAAUUUCGAAGAGAAACACAAUUUUUAUCUUUGUUUCCUUCUUUAUUAAUAAUGAGAUUAACUUUUUCUGUUACUGCAAGACUUCUUUAAUAAACUGUUUUUUUCUAAUCACAGCUAGAAUGCAACAAAAAUAUAUUAGAGAAUUAUCUUUGAGAUAUCAUAAUUUAUGUGAAAUUAUUUUGAAAAGUGCUUGUUCAUAUCUUUUGCCCACUUUUUGAUGGGGUUGUUUGUUUGUUUUUUCUUAUAUAUUUGUUUAAGUUUCUUACAGAUGCUGUAAUUAAAUUUACUUAUGAAGUAGAAAAAGCAGUGUAAGUUAUAUCUAGAUUUGUAGACUUUGUUGCUGUUGUUAAUCACCCCUUUUGAUUAAACCUGUUUGAAAAAUCAUUUAUCUCUCAUUUUACAAAGUCUGUUAAUGGAAACCUGGCUCCUUUCUCUCCACUUAUGUUACUUGCCUGUUCUAAUAGGGCACAUAGUGCCGUAGAUGUAGAUGAAAAGGCAUAAUCCUCAACUGCCCUUGUCAUCUCCUACUUCAACUUAUUCCAUCCAUUCAAAUCCUUUAGUCUCUUUCUCAGAGAACAAAAGAUUUUGGAUGUUCAGAUUCAGGCACUUACUGAAUUUUUCUGCAUUGUAAAGGCUGGAGGAGAAAAGGUAUUUUUUUCUCUUGGAAGCUAGGAACAAUUUUGCUCCAACAUCACGUGAAACUGAAAAAGUGGGGCUGGGGGUGGAAGAGAUUGUUGCCCAGUGUGCUUCUUCCCUGGCCCAGACUGUGUUUCUAUACAAGUGGACCUCUGAGGACAUACAUUUACCUAACAUCACUUUCUCCAACUUAGGACAACACUGGGCUUCCUGGAAGCUCAGUUCUCCUUACAGGGCAGGCCCAGACUCCCUAUUUCCAGAGAAAUUUCAGGGAUGUUGCUCAAUUGUCAACAGAAGCAAGGGAAACCCAAGCAUCUUAUACUUUUUGUCUUUAUGAUAAUAGAUUUAGCUAGGAAAGUGAGGAUGGAUAAAUUUUGAAGGCUGGUCAACCUUAUAUUUCAUUGCUUAUCUAAGCAACUUCUUUUGUUUUUAAAUUUAACUUUCAUUUUAAGUUCAGGGAUACAUGUGCAUCUAGUUACUUAAUUGCUGCACACACUCAGCCUUAUCAGCCUUAACCUGAUGCCAUAAUGUAGCUUCAACGUAUCACUCUUAGAUUUAGAUCUUCAUCCAAUUCUUCUUUCCUGAACCCUUAGUUUAUAUCCAUGACUGCUUAGAGAUGUGUAGAUGCUACACGGAAGUCUUAAAUAUCCUUGAGCUCUAUAUUCACACAGCAAACUAUUUGGAUUUGCUUUUUAGCCACGCUCCUCAAACCUGUUCUUUUUUCCUGAAUAUCAAUUUUAAUAAAUUGUGCUACCAUCAACCCAGUCUCCUAUAUUAUUCUAGAUUAUUUUUCUUCACUCUACUUUGUUUCUAAACUAAUUGUUGUUUAUUAAAAUUAUCAGUUCUACCUUUCAGAAGUGCUUAAGUCUAUCUGGACAUUGAUUUGGUUCAAACCUCACCAUUUUAAAGGUAAUUUUUCUCAAUAGCCUCUAAAUACCUUGUAUGUCAUUUCCCAAAUGUCAUGUUUUUAUACCUCUAAGACUCUUUAUAUAUAAAGAUGAAUAGUUCUAAAUGCUCUUCUUUUUCUUCAGCUGUUUCAAGCUAACUUCUAUUUGUCCUUUAAGAUUCAAAUUGUUCAAGAUCUUCAUGGUGACCUCCAUCCAGUCUGGAGCCAGUCCCUCUUCUUUCUUCUAAACCAUUAUAUGUGUACUUUUCUUACAACUUCUAUUUAUAAUGUAUUAUAAUUGGUAUUGUUUGUUUCACUCUUGGUAUUGUUUAAUUGUUUCACUCUCCAAGUGUGAGUUUCUAAAUGUAGAGACUAGCUUAUUCACACCCAUACACAAUUAUUUGUGUAUAUAUGUUUAUUAGUACAUACGGAAGUGUAGUAGUAAUAAUAUACAACGUGUAUAGUAAAUUAACAAAUAGUGAUGUGGUUCAGAGAUGAAAUACUUCCCAAACUGUGAUCUUAAAAUAAGAACAACAAUAGAAAAACAAUAAAACUCUCCAUUUGUACUUUGUUGGGCUAAACACGGGAACAAUAAUACAGUCUGUCUCCUCUUAUGUUCUUUAAGAGAUGUUUGAAAAUCUUGUGACACUUGAGUAUGGUCAAGCAGAGAAGCUUUCUUUGUUAGAGUGAGUCACUAUAAAUGAUCUCUUUGUUCUCUCAGUUUGCCAGGGAUAAAGCAAUAUAAGUUACCAACUUUUUCUCUGUUUUUCUGUUAAGAACAAUAAAAAAUAAUCUCAGAAUGAAAUCUUCAAAAAUAACUUCUCCUUUUUAUGUUUUAUAGAGCCAGCUUAUAAACUACCCCUGCUCUAAACAGGCUAUCCUAUCCAGCAAGGUCACUCAAUCCUGUGAACAGCCAGUGCCAUUCCAAGGGGAAGGCAUAUUAACUCAGAAAAUGCUGACACACCUGACCUUUCAUCCCUGCCACUCAGCAGUUCUACAGAAGACCAAUUUGUAUGCAAACAAUUCACUUACAAGCCAGAAUUCCUACAAGCAUAAUACAGUUUUUCUGUAAACUCUUAGUGAUAGAAUAUGUAUUUAUGAAUUCCUUGGGAAGGGUUGCAAACUCGAAUGACCACAAGGGCCAGCCAGGGAUGGAGUGGGAACUGUGGGCAGGAGGAGAUGCUUUGUAGAGUCCAGAGGUGGCAGUGACUGUUCAGCACCAGAAACAUUGCCAUAUGGGAACUCAGACUUCAGGUAGUUGGGUCUCCUGCAUUUUGAGAGAAGCUAGAAAUGUCUUGGUAUUUAAAUGUUCACAACUAACAUAGGAAUUUAAAAAAAAAAGAUGAAGUCAAGUGUAUGCAGGUUUUGUUUUAAGGGACUUAGAAAUAAGCAAGAGCUUUAGAUUCAUAUACUUUGUCAGCUCUUCUGUUUUAAUUAACUUAAUAUCUACUGCCAGACCCUUGGUAAAACAUUUAAAGAUUAGAGAGUUGGGGUAUUAACAUCUCUGGUGUGCAUUCAGAAGUGUAUAUUAACUAGGCAAACUGAUUUCAAUAUACACUAAUACAUUAUUGCUGUGGAAAUUGUCUGGAAAUGGAAAUAUUUCCAAAGUCCCUUUAGGGAGUGUUAUUUAGAGCUAAACAGAACAACAGAAUCUCAGUUUUCCUCAAAGUUCUUUGUAGAAUAAUCUUAGUUAUAUUUCCAAAAUUAUAUUUGAUACUGGUUAAUAAAGGUAAAUGCUGCCAUCUGAACUCACUUAUUAUAAAUGUCUAAACUUGCAUUUGGUAGUAAAAUGUUGACAGGCACAACUUCCUAGUGGAAAGCACAUUGGACUGUGAGUUGGGAAAUGUGAGUUCCAGUCCUAGUUUUGAGUGCAUAGCUGUGGAAUGGAGGUCAAGUCAUUUGAUUUACCCAGGCUUUUGUGUUACAACUGUAAAUUAAGGUGGUUGGAAGAUAACUUCAAAGAUCCCUUCUAUAAUUCUGUUCCUUUGAAAAUAUUCUAGAGUUCGAAUUUCUCUUUCUUGUGACAUAGAAGAAUGUUUAGAUUAUGUAUGGAUGGUUCACUUAAAAGUUUAUUUGGGACAGGCAGCCAGCACUUUUUUUGAAAAAAUGGUCAUACUUACUAAUAUAAAAUUUAGUCUUAAAGAUUAUUAGGAAAAGUGUAUUCUCACCAAACACUUGAAAUUAUUUUUAGUAAAAGUAAAUAGAGUCUCUGAGCCAGAAACUACCCGUUGUUAAUCAGGAUGUUUCGGGCUCAAGUUCUAAAUCUGCCACUCAUUACUGUGUGACUUUAGAAAGAUCAUGUAAUUGGCCAGAUACAGUGGCUUAUGCCUGUAAUCCCAGCACUUUGGGAGGUUGAGGCAGAAGGACUGUUUGAGGCCAGGAGUUCAAAAGCAACCUGAGCAACGUAGUGACAUCCUGUCUCUACAAGAAAUUAAAAAAUUAACUGGGUGUGGUAGCCCAUGCCUGUAGUCCCAGCUACUUGGGAGGCUGAGACGGGAGAACCUCUUAAGCCCAGGAGGUAAAGAUUGCAGUGAGGGGUGAUCGCACCACUACAUUCCAGCCUAGGCAACAUUGUGAGACCCUGUCUCAAAAACAAACAAACAAAAAAAAUCAUGUAUUGAUUUGAUUUUCUUAUCUUAAAAUGUAGGCAAUAAAACCUCUCUUCUAGCUUUCCAGGUUUCCAAAUGCUUUAAGGUCAGUUAAAAUUUAAUAGUCAUAAUUGGCUUUUGUGGAAAACUUCAUGACCUCAGACUUUUAUUGUUUACCUUUUAAUGUGUUUCAUAUGAUACAGGUUUCCUUAUGAAUAUUCAAAAAGAUAUCCAAAGUUGGCAGUUCCAGUGAUUUUAAGAGUGGAUAUAGUAUAUAAAAAUGGAUUGAGAAAGUGCUACAAAUUAGAAAACCCUUUGGAAUGCUAUAGCUGUGGGACAAUUUUCUUAAAAAUAAAAAAAAAGCAAAAACCCCCUUUCUCACAAAUGAUUAUAAAAAUAGGCAAUAUUCUAGUGCUAUUAGUAGUUCCAUGCUUUCGUAAAUGAUUGUGCAUGUUUUUGCUAACUGCAAACACUAGACAAGAAAUAAAAUUUCCGUCUAAACCACAGGCCACAUCACCAUACUAUAGCAACUCUAUGGAUGAGUCACUGACUUAUGGAUUCUGUGUUUCAUGAAGCUUCUGCAAUCUCUUCUUUACAGUGAAUGUAGCUGUUUGCUUGGCAUAGUAGCAGAUAGCAAGACAGCACAGACUAUUAGAGUGGAGGGGAGAAAUGGAAGAAUGAAGGGCAAAAACAUCUCUUGUCCUGAGUGGGCUCAAGCAGGUAUGCCUAGCAUCUUUCUUUCCCAUAAAGAAGGAUAAGUGAGAGUGAUUUAGCCUCCUGCAGGUAAGCACUGUCUGAUGGCAUCACUGUUAGGCCUCCACAAGAGUCAUUAUGAUAAUAACACCUUACAGGAGAAUGACUUUUUUUUUUUUUUUUUGAGAUGGAGUCUCGCUCUGUCACCCAGGCUGGAGUACAGUGGCGCAAUCUCGGCUCACUGCAAGCUCUGCCUCCUGGGUUCAUGCCAUUCUCCUGCCUCAGCCUCCAGAGUAGCUGAGUCUACAGGUGCCUGCCACCACUCCCGGAUAAUUUUUUUGUAUUUUUAGUAGAGAUGGGGUUUCACCGCGUUAGCCAGGAUGGUCUCCAUCUCCUGACCUCGUGAUCCGCCCGCCUCGGCCUCCCAAAGUGCUGGGAUUGAGAAUGGACAUUUAGAGUUUACAAAGCAGCUUUACAACCAGUGUCCUAUUUGAUUACAACAGCCUGAGUCACUAAGUACAUUUUAUAGAUGGUAGAGUAUUGAGUUUCAAGAGGUUCAAGUGACUUGCCUGAUGUCACACAGUCAGUAAGGACAGGGCUAAGUGUGAAAUUCAGGCCAACUGUUUGCAAAAACAAUAACAAUUUUCCCUAUAACAGCCACUGCUCGUUAGGAUAAGGUGGACUAGGUCUGACUAAUUAAGCUGAUAACCAGCGCUCUUGCUAAACAACUAAGCCUACAAGGUUAUUGGUACCUUCCCACUGGAAUCUUAUAUUCAUGGUUCAAGAACUCUGAAUUUGUCUUUCUCUCGAGAAUCCAUUUAAUUCACUUCAAUUUAUAUUCAUGGAGUAUUUUACUAAAUACUAAUAUUUUACUAAAUAAAAAGUAUAUGCUUUUAUUAAAUCAUGGCUUCUUAAUAUGUAUCUAU
rnacentral:lncRNA from 1 species